rnacentral:misc_RNA from 1 species
AGCGCGUUGCUAACGGCAAAGGGCAACAACCACGCCGUGAACACAGAUUGUAGCGCGCUGUUAACCAAGGCCAGGUCGAAUUUAACGCUACAAUACGCAUUUUCACUUGACAGUGACCUUUCCUGUUCUCUCUUGCGAUUCACGAGAAAUUUUCAAUCGGUCUCGAUACACGUGUUACGCUUUGUAGUGUAAUGCCUUUGGUCGAUUAGCGUCAAUUGUGCACGCUUUUCGUUUGAAAUUCGCGCUUCAAAGUGUCCAGCUGGGUCUGCGUGUGUCCUUUCCGUGAAUCGUGCCCGAGGAUGCAACGACGAAGAUUACCGGAUGCCAUGUUGCUGCUGGUCAGAGCAGCUGUUCUCGCAGCUGUCUUGGGACUGUUCCUGGGAUCGAGCCAUGCAAACAGGCCCGCCGGUGCGCAUCCCGGCCACGCGUACUUCGAGCAACCUUGUUGCGGACGCUCUCAUCUCAGGCAUCAUAAAGGUAAGCCCCCAGACGGUUUCAAAGUGAGUCGUGCACUCGUUCGGGGUCGGGAACGGGGCUCGUUCGCAUUUUCGGUGAGUAAACAGCGCGUAUCGACGCACGCAUAAUUAGUAGCCGACACCCCCGGAAGGCCGUCGAAUUUUCUGACGGGCAGGGUUGCUCGCUAGGGUUUUUCUGUAACGAGGAUACCCUUUUAUCCCCGCGCCUCGAUCCUCUCGCACGCAACCCAGGCCUCGUGUAUACAUGCGCGUACACGCAGGGUUCGUUUAACGUCGUUCUUUUAGUUCACCCCGCUGCCAGCUGGCCUUGCAUUUUUGUUAACUAGCAAGAGGGUGCGCCUCGACCCGAGCUGAUAUAGUUUAUUUACGUUCUCAAUUAACACUCGAUGCGACCGACAAGCUAGGGCC